CUACUUUUCAAAUGAAGAAACUGGAGAUGUAAGAGGUUAGAUGGCCAAUGUCUGCCUCCCAAAAGAUACCGCACAGACGAGCCACGCGGGGAGCCAAAAUGAAAGAAAAGUUAAUGUCGGUUCAAGUACUCAUGAAAAAAGAAGGGGCUUACACUAGACUGGAGGAUGAGUACUAUUUAAUUUCAUGAUGGGUUCAGGGUGGGGGUGCAGGGUAUCCAGGCGGAGGAGACAGACCUGGGAGUCCAAAGUGGGGAAGGGGCUCGGUUUUCAGAGAAGCGGAAGAUCACGCUUAAUGCCACAAAGAAUAAUUAAACUGGCAGGAGGUACUUCCGAAGCUUCUACUUCAUAUUCCAUUGGGUGUCUGUGUACUUAGAUACCCUCCUUAAACCCAUUUUACGUUUUCAGUCGAUUCAUUUUCUCCGCUGCACCAAUUGAGAUUUCUCUUUCAAGACUUCCAGCUACUGCAUUUAUUCACCCCCCUGUUGCAUUUAGGGCACUACAGCGCAAAUGUUUACCAACGCGUCUCCGACUGAUUCCCCAAAGGCUAGAAAGGUCCUCAUUCAUCUUUCACCCCUGGCACUUCACGAAGAGAAGGCUUGAAGAGAAGCCAUUCUCUACCUUGAGUGUCCCACGUCUUGCUCUAAAACUACUUUCAAUUUUCUGACAGAUCCGCCCUGGUGCCAGGUCUCGAGUUCGGGGACGGCCCCGGGCGCUGAGGUAACCCUGGCCGGGCGGGCCCAACCCAGCUCCCACCUGAGCCCCCGCGUCCCGCCCCUCCAAGGCCUCCGGGGAGACGCGCAGUCUGCUGCCUCAGCCCCGCCGCCACCGCAGCGCCCACAGCGGCCGCGAAGCCCGCCACUGCCGCCGUGGCCGCCUCAGCCCAGCCGCCCAGCGUCGUCCCAAUCGGCCUCUCACCUGCGGCCCCUCAGCAGCGCCGGCCUACCCCGACCCCUCAGCGGACCGGAAGUGGGCCGCGGACGCUGUCAGACAGGAGGAAAAGUGAGAAGACGAACUCAGCUGUCAUCACAUCCCUAUAAGAAACUCUCAAGAUACCUUUUGGAGAGAAAUGUAAUAAGAAACUAAAAACAAUCUAAAAACACC
rnacentral:lncRNA from 1 species